rnacentral:rRNA from 1 species
CAGUAGCCGCGGUAAUACGAAGGGGGCUAGCGUUGUUCGGAAUUACUGGGCGUAAAGCGCACGCAGGCGGCUUGACAAGUCUUGUGUGAAAUCUAUGGGCUCAACCCAUAGUCUGCACGGGAAACUGUCGGGCUUGAGAAUGGGAGAGGUGAGUGGAAUUUCCGGUGUAGCGGUGAAAUGCGUAGAUAUCGGAAGGAACACCUGUGGCGAAAGCGGCUCACUGGACCAUUUCUGACGCUGAUGCACGAAAGCUAGGGGAGCAAACAGGAUUAGAUACCCCCGUAGUCCCUGUCUCUUAUAA